UGUGUGUGUGUGUGGUCAGACGCUUGGGCCUGGUGAGCACUAGCUAAGAUCAUACCCCAGAAAAGGAGCUUCAAGAAUAGCCAUAUCAGCUCUGGGAAUCAAAUUAGAAAGGCUGGCUGCAGCGCCUCUGACUAAUGCAGACAAGACAGCUCCCCAAAAUAUGGGGACAAAGGAGGAUUGAUUCACCCUCCUGGAAUCAUGAAUGCCAGAUUUGAAUUUUAUCUGCUUUGCAGUAACAAAAAUAAGAACUUACUAAAUACUCUUUGUGUUUAACUAUUACUUGAAUUCAGAAAUAUGUAAGGACAAGUAAGAAUGCUUGGUGUUUGUCCUGGAAUAUUCCAAAAGGCCUUUCGGCUCAUUCCCUUGCCUCAAUGGUCCUAACAGGGGUGGCUUAGUGACAAAAAUUCCUCCUCCUGACUUUGGGAAGUGUCCACUGCUUACAGCCAACCUUAUGACUUCAGAGACACCCUCUCCAAAGUGACACCUCCCUUGUCCCCACCAGGACCUGACUGCUUUGAAUGUCCUCUACCUGGUGUUUAAUCUUACAGCAGUUAUUGCCACCUGGAAACACUAAAUGUAAAUGAUUCUAUUGUUCAGAAUUGUGUCACCUCCACCCAAAUAUAACACUAUAGUCCAUGUUGCAACUUCUGAGUUCCAGAGUCUAGAACAAGGACUGUCCUUGGUGCUCAGUUAGAGCUAGUGAACUAAUGGGACAAACAUAAUGCUUAUUCCAAAAUGCCUACAAAGGCCAGAUGUGAAGCCCUAGGCAACAUCUCAGAUGGAUGAGUAAGUGUCCCAUGCAUAGCAGGCAACACUCCUCAGCCAACAGGUGCCAAAGAUUAUCAUUUUCCCAUGGAAGCCAGAAACCUGGAUUUACACAUGAAAUUUCCUUUAAAACAAUUUUUUAAUAGAACACUGGGAGUGAAAACAGGGUUAUAGUCAGUACUUUUACAGCAAGCUAUCAGCUUGUGGCCUUUGGCCUCUCUUCCUGGAGUUAAGGCUAGGUGUGGUAAGGACGACCAGAGGAGGGGAGGAAGCUGCAAAGGAUAAGAGGAAACUGGGGGGCGGGGGGCUGCCCAACCCCAGCACUGGGAGGGGACUUCCAACAGGAACUCCAGGCUCAGGUGCUUCCCUCUGUGAAACCACCAGCCUGGUAGCUGCAUUGUCCCCAGCCAGCACAAGGGAACAGACCUGGGUUGCUUUGCUGUGUACCAGACUUCCCAAGCCUGACUUGGGGGUUAGGUGGGGACCUCAAACCAGGGGAACAAAUCAGGGACAAUUGUACUUAUGGGAAAAGCUAGGAUCAUUUCUACCCUGUCAAAGGCUGACUGUACCGCCCAGCUGUUCUAACUUCUCCGUCUCACUUGUGUAAACAAGGAUAGCUGAAACGGGAGAUGCUCAGUUUGAUUUGUACAACUGGUUCGUGAGUUCAAGGGUAGUGGGGCAGUUUAAGGACAUAGAAGUAAAUACCUAUUGCAAGGUAGACACAGGCCUCCUCUAUGCCAAGUUUUAAGUGUGCCCUCCAAAGUAUUUAUGUCUUGGAAACUCUAUCCCCAUUGUGAUAUUGGGAGACGGAGUCUAACAAGCAGCAAUUAGUGAAUCAAUGUCACCAUGGAGACGCUGAUGAGGCUGUCCCCUCUUUCCCUUCUCGUUCUUGCUCUCAUUCCAUCUGCCAAGGGGUGACACAGCAGCAAGCUGCUUCCAGAUGUCGGUGUCAUGCCCUCAGCCAGUCUCCUCUGCAGUAUGAGUCAAAAGUUGUUCAUGAUGAAAUAAGUGGUGACCCUGAAGUAUUACUGUAGUUGUAGGAAAUGGGAUAAGACAAGAGGUUCUGCACUUGGCUCAUACCAGUCUUCUCUAGUUUUCUUUCUUAGUCCAAGCUCUGGCCCCUUGACUCCAGGCGUGACACCUUGACUAUCAGGCCGCCAAGCUCGGGAGCACAGUGGGUUCCUCUGACCUCAGAGAGUGGUCCAGAUAAUAUGGGUCUUAGCAUAGGUUCUCCAGACAACAGAGGCUGAGGUAAAGGCCUGUGUUCAAGGACCUUAUUUAGGGGGUAUUUUCAUUAUUAUAAUUCAGGAAUCAGAGUGAGGAGCCAGGAAAUGAGGGGAAAUAGUUGGCGUGAGAUUGGUCCUCAAGGUGAUCACAACCCUUAUCUAAAAUGCUUGGGACCAGAAGUGUUUGGGGCUUCAGUUUCUAUUUUAGCUUAGAAUAUUUACAUAUUUUAGGAGAUGUCUUGGGUAAACAAGUCAUUUUUUAAAUAUGAAACUCAUGUUUUGUAAUACCUUACAUACACAGCCAGGAAUGGAACGGAAACCUCAAAGCCUGUCCCCAAUGACACAUCUCCAACAAGGUCAUACCUCAUAAUCCUUCCUAAGUAAUUCCACUGACUGUCCACCAAAUACUCAAAUAUAUGAUCCUAUGGGGCCAUUCCCAUUCAAACCGUCACCCUCUUCAAAGGCAUGACCCCAGGGACCCUCAUCCUCCAACUGGAUCCAUCUCCCCAUUCCUACCACUCUCAGUCUGCUCAGCUGGGGCUCCAUCUACGGAUUAAUUCCCUCCUUAUGUCAAAGCCCUCAUGCCCUGAUUGUCUCUGGAAUGCUGUCUCAGACACACACAAGGGUGUGCUUUAUUAAUUCUCUAUGACUCUCUCAAUCCAAUAAAACUGGCAAUUAAAAUUUUGUCACACUAUAUGAAUGGCUGCCAGAGGAAGCAGAGAGAGUUGGCCAUCUGGUCUUGCCGGUGAAAGCUCACGAGUAUUAAUUCUCUGUGUGACAGAGGUCCCAGGGCAGCUCAGCCCUCCACACCAGCAGGAAAACGCCAUGAAGCUGAAGGCCACGGGCACUGAGCCUUUGUUGGGAUAAUCUUUUUAUACACCGUGUGAAGAUGCAUCUCUGCCCUUCCUCACCUGCCCAAGGCACCUUCUGAUUGGUUUCAUAAAGAGCUGAAUGACCAAUAGCUAAGCAGGAGAACAUAGGUGGGACUUCCAGGCAGAGAUUCGAACUCUGGGAAGGAAUCUGAGGUGCAGGAGAUUUGCCAGCCAGACUCAAUGAAGUCAGACAUAUGAUACUGAGAAGAGCUGUUGUUACAGGAAUGCCAGCCAGAAGCCACGGAUCUAGAGACACAAAGACCACCAAACAUUUGUGCCUCCUGAGUAAAGGUAACCAGAAAAAUUCCAUACAGCCUAGAUACGAUCAAAACUACAAGCUCAAAGUUAUGGUGCUUUUUUUUAUUGUGACUCUGAUGUAAAUGUGCUGCCAAUGAGUCUAAUACUUACAUUUUCAACAACUAAAAGCAAGUUCCAGGGAGCAGAAUUGGACCCAUCCAAACAGAUCUACAGAGAUGCCAGAGUUCCAAAUAGCCAGGACUUCGAUGGAGCAGCCAGCUACCCCAGGACAUGGCAACACCCAGCUUUCUCAGGUCCCCCAAAGAUGGUCAACACCCGCUAGGUCAACAGGAAGCAGUCUUGAGAACUCAACACCCUUAUUGCCUAACUUGCCAUGCCCAACUCCCCACCAUUUUUAAUAAUAAGAGGUGAGAUUGUUGGAACUAAAACACCAGGCUGCCCCCAGCCCUCUGACAAUGGGUGGGGCAUGCACAGUGACGUAGCCAUGUCUUCUCCACGUCACUCGUUAGGCAGUACAGAGCUGUGUAAGAACUCUGCCCAUGCCGGAGGACUCAGGACUCGGUGGGCAUGUGUGGGCUUUCCCUUUUAAGCUCGCACCCUUCCCGCCCCACUCUCUCUCCCUGUCUCCGGUUGGCCUCCAUCUACCCACUCUUUCCCUUUCUACCAACAAAACCCCCAGUGGGUUUGUUGAUUCAAGGUUCUUGUUUCAUACCAUUCACUGCAGCAAAAUAACAAUACCUGGCUCUGCCUCCCAAGUGCUGGAGCUCUUAUUUUAAUCUGUUUCUCUUUGCCUACAUUUUGCUUUGGAACUUUUUAUCUUUCUUUCUGUAUGUCCUACUUCCCAGCUUCUCGUGUCUG